rnacentral:rRNA from 1 species
GUGAAGCGGCAACAGCUCAAAUUUGAAAUCUGGCUCUUUCAGAGUCCGAGUUGUAAUUUGCAGAGGGCGCUUUGGCUUUGGCAGCGGUCCAAGUUCCUUGGAACAGGACGUCACAGAGGGUGAGAAUCCCGUACGUGGUCGCUAGCUAUUGCCGUGUAAAGCCCCUUCGACGAGUCGAGUUGUUUGGGAAUGCAGCUCUAAAUGGGAGGUAAAUUUCUUCUAAAGCUAAAUAUUGGCCAGAGACCGAUAGCGCACAAGUAGAGUGAUCGAAAGAUGAAAAGCACUUUGGAAAGAGAGUCAAACAGCACGUGAAAUUGUUGAAAGGGAAGCGCUUGCAGCCAGACUUGCUUGCAGUUGCUCAUCCGGGCUUUUGCCCGGUGCACUCUUCUGCAGGCAGGCCAGCAUCAGUUUGGGCGGUGGGAUAAAGGUCUCUGACACGUUCCUUCCUUCGGGUUGGCCAUAUAGGGGAGACGUCAUACCACCAGCCUGGACUGAGGUCCGCGCAUCUGCUAGGAUGCUGGCGUAAUGGCUGUAAGCGGCCCGUCUUGAAACACGGACCAAGGAGUCUAACAUCUAUGCGAGUGUUUGGGUGUCAAGCCCGAGCGCGUAAUGAAAGUGAACGGAGGUGGGAACCCGCAAGGGUGCACCAUCGACCGAUCCUGAAGUUUACGGAAGGAUUUGAGUAAGAGCAUGGCUGUUGGGACCCGAAAGAUGGUGAACUAUGCUUGAAUAGGGUGAAGCCAGAGGAAACUCUGGUGGAGGCUCGCAGCGGUUCUGACGUGCAAAUCGAUCGUCAAAUUUGGGCAUAGGGGCGAAAGACUAAUCGAACUAUCUAGUAGCUGGUUCCUGCCGAAGUUUCCCUCAGGAUAGCAGUAACGUAUUCAGUUUUAUGAGGUAAAGCGAAUGAUUAGAGGCAUGGGGGUUGAAACAACCUUCACCUAUUCUCAAACUUUAAAUAUGUAAGAAGCCCUUUGUUACUUAAUUGAACGCGGGCAUUUGAAUGAAACGUUAUUAGUGGGCCAUUUUUGGUAAGCAGAACUGGCGAUGCGGGAUGAACCGAACGAGGGGUUACGGUGCCGGAGUACACGCUCAUCAGACACCACAAAAGGUGUUGGUUCAUCUAGACAGCAGGACGGUGGCCAUGGAAGUCGGAAUCCGCUAAGGAGUGUGUAACAACUCACCUGCCGAAUGAACUAGCCCUGAAAAUGGAUGGCGCUCAAGCGUGUCACCUAUACCCCUCCGCCGGGGCAAAAUUUACGCCCCGGCGAGUAGGCAGGCGUGGAGGCUCGUGACGA